GGAAGAAAGGAACACAUGGAGGUUGUUAGAAACAUACAAACCAUGUACAAUAACAAAGACAAAGAUAAUUAAGGUAAGAACACAUUAACAAACAAGGAAGAAAGGAACACAUGGAGGUUGUUAGAAACAUACAAACCAUGUACAAUAACAAAGACAAAUAAGGUAAGAACACAUUAACAAACAAGGAAGAAAGGAACACAUGGAGGUUGUUAGAAACAUACAAACCAUGUACAAUAACAAAGACAAAUAAG